UGCAGUUAUUUAAGAAGGAAGUUUUUAUGUUAUUCAAUAGUGUGGCUGUCAAGUAGUAAUAGCUCAAUAAAUGUAAUGUAUUUUAUUACCACGGGAGAAACACAAUUAAGAAUGAGAAUACAGACAUGUGGAAUAGAAAGAAAUUUAUUUUUGUUUUCCUGAAAGUGUUGCAGGUUGCAGGAAUCAUACAAGAAGUACUCGUGAGAAGAGGUGAUACAAUUUUAUUAAAUUGUACAUGCACCAGUCAAACAAAUGGGCUCUGGAAUGGACCAAAUAAGUCAGCAUCAAGAAUAAACGAUCUGGACGAAGAAAAUUUAAUGCCAUAUGCACAGGGGUUUCUGCUUAACCCAAAGUUAAACAUGUCAAAAUAUUAUAUUGUGGGAAGUUACAAAAACAGAACUUGUAAUCUAAUAAUUAAACAUUUUUCGUCGACAGAUGAAGGAAAAUACAAAUGUCAAUACAUAAAAAAUGAUACAACAAAUAGUCGUGUUUACAGACUUAUCAUACAGACUCCGCCUGUUGUCUCAACAAUUACCCCACAAGUAGAAGAUUCAUACCUUGAAUGCAAUAUUUCCGACGAUUCUGUGUCAUACACUUUAAAAGAUUGGGAACAUAAAUCAGAAUCGGGUAAACAUAUACGAUAUAUAAAAAACACGCAAGACGGUACACUUGUACUGAAGAAAGACAAUUUUCAGAAUAGCGGGAUAUAUAUAUGCAGAGUGAAUAAUGAUAUCAUUGAUAUGGAUAGAGAGCAUUAUCAGCAACAUCAAGUCCUGGUACAAUAUGAAGGGCCACCGGUGUUUUUUUUAAACAACAGCAAAACCUGGUUUAGACAAUGUCAUGGAGAUGUAAUUGUUACUUUAAGAGUCUUUACUUCAUCCGAUAUCACGAGUGAACCAAUUCUUAAACUAGAGGAAAAGAGUGAAGAGAGGCAAUCGCCUGAAGUGAUAGGUUCCUUGAUGAAUUCGACGUGUAGAGAUUAUUUGGUAUUCUAUAAUGUCAGUGUUAAAGUGCCGUGUGUCGAAGUGACAUUUUAUGUUAAAACUGUGAAAGACGAAAUUAGGAAUUAUUCUGCAAAUGUGUGUAAUACAUUUGGGUGUGAGCUCUUUGACGUUAAUGUCAUUUCAACAGGUAUUCUAGAACCACCAUCAAAUAUUUCCCUGAUAAGUGACGAGACCAACAUAUUCAUGAAAUGGCAUCCGGGUUUUAAAAGAGGUUGUAGCCAAAACUUCUUUAUUCAAUACCGACAAUCAACAAGGACAACCUGGACGAAUAUAGGUCCUAUACAGGAUCAUAAGGAGAAAGAUGUUGCAUUUACUUUAUCGGACUUACGUCCUGAUACACAAUACGAAAUUCGAAUGUAUGCUAGGAAUAAGGCUGGAUUUAGUGUUAAAACAAAUAUUACGACCAUUCUCACAAGAAAAUUGAGAGAAGACGGGCAACGUUUCUUGGAGUGGAUUGUUAUUUCUGUAAUGAUAGUAUAAGCUUUAAUUUGCUAUGGUUUGGUGUUUGUAGUAGUUAAAAUAAGAGAGAAAAGAAAGCAGUGUCACAACAUAAGACUUGCAGACCUGGAAAUGAAUAUACAAGGGGAGUCAGUUGACAAUCGUUUAUACCUGUCAACAGACUUUCGUCAAUCAAAUUCUACUAGAUAUCAGCAAGAACUAAAUGAAAUGGGAAUUCAACCUAUAGGACAGUCAAGUUCAGCUUUAGAUAGUCAGUAUCAAGAAGAAUUGAUAGAAGAACAAAACGCUGUUCAUGCCGACCUAAGCAUUCAAACACAGCAUACUGAAUCUAACCUUAACUAUGCUGAAGUUAUAUUUGAAGCAGGGCCUUCAACAAGCACGAGUAUUGUCCAUGGCAAAGAAGACAGAACUAUUUAUUCCGAAAUAGAUUUGUUGUGCCAUGCAGAUGCCAUUCCGUCUAGCAGUGAAAGUGACGAUGACUUUAUGUAUGUGGAUGGGAUUGAGAAUUACAACAAACAAACAUGCCUCUGAAUUUACAAUAUCGUCAUUGAUUGUGCAGAUGAAUGUAUUUAUUUAAACGUCACUCCUUCCGUCUUUUGUAUAAAAAUACAUGUUGCAAAUACUUAUGAUGUUUUACUUUUUUUCAAUUUUCUGUUGUUAUAAUAUUAUUGAUCAUUAUUGUAAUCAAUGCAAAUUUAUAAAUGAAUGAUUUUUAUUUCUCAUUAACUACAAAUUACAUAGUUAAAGAGAAUAUAUAUGUAUAAACAAUUACAUUAAAUAUUAAAGCACAUGUGAACAACACAACCAUAAACAUUAAAUUACAAACUAACCAGGAGGAGUGACCCCCACAUUUAUAAUUUUUAUAAAUCUACAUAGUUUUUCAAGAACAAUAUAAUUAUUAGAGCUCA